UCACCCACUUAAAUGCUGGCAGUAACUGGACCUCCUGCUCAGCUGGGUGGGUGCAUUGACUAACAGAAGGGGAUUGUCUGGGCUCCUCCAGGAGCAGAGGGGAGAGGGGUCUAUCCAGGCUGCCUGCUUUGAGCAACUGCCUAACUCCUUCCUCAGUCCCUCGGCCCCACUCACCUCCAGACUGCAGUCUCCUUUUUCAUUUUAAAGACAAAACUUCCCAUCGACAAACAGCAUGUUUAUUUGCAGCUUUUACAGCUAGCAAAUCCUUUGGUACCAGGGAGCGCAGGACCCAGUGGGGGAAGAGUUCAGGCUUGGGCUGAAUGCCCAGGACUCAGCUUUGCAACCAGCCAAGAGCCUGGAGGCCCAACUCCCUGAAAGGGCCUUUUCUGGGUUGCUCUGAUCUGCCUGGUACCCAUAACUGUCUGUGUUUUAUAUUAUGGGCAGACAAACACUCAGAUGACGCAUGGCAGCCCAAGUUAUGCUUGUUUGAAAAUGCGUGGCAUUUCAUAAUCCUGCCGGAACACACUCUUCUUGCUGCAUUAGGAUCCAACUGGAAAACAUAAAGAUGAAUUGCUGUAGGCUGGAAAAUCAAUUAGGAAAAAGAGGUAAAACAUCUGGUGUUACUCUUAGAAUAUGAAAAUUCAUUUUGCACAUUUAAAAUAAAUGUGUUGAGUUGAUUUAAUUGCCUGUUGAACUGUUUCGUGGAAAAUACUGGGAAGUUGCAUUGAUCCUGGGCAUUUUGCAGUAAGGGGCAUUGUCUUGAGUUCUCCUUUAAUCUUAAUCUUUAAUCAAUCUGGAUUGUAUUUCUAAGGUCUUUUUCACGUGAGUUUCAGUAGACUUGGAACUUCAGUUUUCAAAGUCAAGUGUGUAUUAGAAUUACACGGAGGGCUGGUUAAAACACAGAUGGCUGGGCCUAACCCCACAGUUUCUGAUCCAGUAGGUCUGGGCUAGGGCUUAAGAAUUUGAAUUUGUAGCAAGGUUCUAAGUGAUGACAAGCUGCUGGUUGGGACCACACUUUGAGAACUACUGGCUUCGAAUAAGGGAGAGUCCUUGUCAGUGUACAGAGUAGGGAGGUGGUUUCCUAUGAAAAUAGAUUAAAUUCCACAGACUUAUGGUGCUAUGCCCUGCAGUCUUGACUUCCUUACACAACGGAGUACAUAGCUUCCAGAGAGCUUUCCUUCUAAGAUAAGCCACACAUAACUCCUAUCUUCUCUUCCCUACAUUCUUCUGCAAAAAUGGGUUUAAUGCCCUUCUAGAGAUUCAUUUCUUUCUUUCCUUUUUAAGAGACAGGGUCUUGCUCUGUCGCCCAGGCUGGAGUGCAGUGGUGCCAUCAUAGCUCACUGAAGCCUCAACCUCCUGGGCUCAAGCAAUCCUCCCACCUCAGUCUCCUGAGUAGGUGGGACUACAGGUGUGCCCAGCUAACUUUUAAAUUUUUUUUUGUAGAGACAAAGUCUUGCUAUUUUGCCCAGGAUGGUCUCGAACUCCAGGGCUCAAGCAGUCCUGUUAUAUCCUCCUCCGAAAGUGUUGGGAUUACAGGUAUGAGCCACCAGGCCCCAACCUAUUUCUGCCAUUCCUGAAUUCAGAAUGCAACAGCACUCUAAUUUAAUCAGCGUUGGCACCUACUUUGUGAACUCUGAUGAGGUGGGAAUACAAAAGCAAUAAAACACAGUCCUCCCCCUCCAGGAGCUCAUUCACAGCCUGGUGGCCCCCUGGCAGUUGCAAGAAGGCAUCCACCAAGACCACAAUUAUAGCAUGAUGUAAUGGAGGCAUUAGGCAAGGGCACGACAGGAGCCUAGGGCACAGGUACCUAUUUUUGCCCGGGAAGAUGGGGAAGGUGUCAUGGAGGAGGAAUCAUUUGAGCUAAAUCUUAAGCAGGAGUGGGUGAUGUGUAGGUGGAAAAAAUCUUGGGGGUGGGGUGGGGAGGGAGAUAAUUGGGCCAUUGGCACAUCGAGGAUACAUACAGCUUCUUUAUGUUACUGUAGGGCCUCGCCUCUGGGAAUAAAGCUGUCUUGGGUGAGAACUACUUUCUACUUUUAGUCCCUCUAGCGUAUAUUUCUUCAGUCAAGAAGAGUGGUAUUACCUAGCCAAGUAAAACACAGCCUCUCCUCUUCGCUCCCUGUUCACAAAACAAGGAGCAUCUAUCUGGCAGGCCAGGAGAGGGGGUUGGUGAUGAAGAUUUCAUUGUUUCCUCUGUGCCUUCCAGGGAUGUGAUUCAGACACAGGACUAGCUUUGUGAUCCCUGUGCUCCGGAGAAACCUCCACCCUGGCCUCAAGGAGGCUGUGAAACCAAAAGGGACCUUGGGUGCCAGCUUGCUGGGUCCUUACUUACUUGGUCCAUCUUCUGGCUGGAAGGAGCACCUGGGCUCUCAGAGUGCCCCCCGACUCUCAGCAGCUCCUUUUCUGGCCCAAGAGGUAAGAGUCUGGAGGACCCCAGUUCAGUUUCUUCCUGUUUAUUCUUUUAUCGUUGACUAUAAGAUUGUGAACCUAGCACAAUGCUAAGAGCUUGAGAUACAGCAGCUAAACAGACAGCCACUAUCCUUACCCUUUUGGAGUUUUUAGCAUAGUGGUGUGCCUAAACAAGUCAUAAUCAUGAUGAUGAUGAGAGGGUAUUACACAGGGCAUGACUACCAGAAGGUGGGCUCAUUGGAAGCCAUUUUAGAAGCAGCUGACCACAGUCUCUCUGGGGCGGGCACCAUUA
rnacentral:lncRNA from 1 species